UGAAUCUGCAUGUGUCGGUUUAUGGAAAAGGCUGUAGAAGUCGUCCAUGUUCUCCACCAUGGCUGAUUUCCUCUGCAUCAGAUGAAUUCGAAACGAAGGCUGGAAUUGCAUUGGGCCAGCCACAUGGGUGUUAAGGCGAGGCCCGUACAUCCAACCAGUAAUGCAUAAGCCAUCAUCCACCACUACAUUCAGCAGUCUUCUAUAGCCAUAAUCUAGCUGCCACAAACCCAAAGGGUUUCUGUAUGGGAACAUCUUGGCGUAGACUUCUCUAUAAGACAUACCACCGAUCAUCUCCGGUUUCUGCAAGUUUUCCUGAACGCCAAACUCCUGGUGACAGCGCAGUCUCCAGAUGCUGUCGGUGUGCAGGAUGUGCCGGAAUUUGGUGCAGGCCUGGGCCAGGCUGGCCAGGUCGGUGCCCGGGAGCGAGGCGAAGAUCUCCACCAGCAUCUCCACAGGCAGGUCCUGCAGGGAGCAGUGCGGGGGCGGCAUGGGUCUCGCGAUUGCUCCACUCCCCGCACAGCACAACGCUGAGGCGUCCGCCUCAAGGUGCUUUUCUGCCGGGGCCGGCUUGCUUUUGGGCGCUGCCUUCUCAGCUGGGCCCUGGCACUCCUGAAGACACUGCUUGCCUUCUGCAGCUGCCAUCUCAGCUGGGCGCUGGCGCUUCUGAAGGCACUGCUUGCCUUCCGCCUCUGCUGUCACUCCUGAGGACACCAACAUCGCGGAGAAGAGCCCAAGCCGCAGAGACAAGCGCACUCCUCCAUGCCUCCACGUGUAACAGCCAACACAAUCCACCUAUAUCUAUUUUAAAAAGUCUCUCUCACCCCUCCCACUGUGGAGUCGGCUCUCUUGCCACAGAAGCCUUGGGCUUCAGUGAGGUCUGAGCCAAUCAGAAGCCACGAUAGAGCCGCUUGCCCAUUGCGGCGGUGUGAUUGGUGGAUUCCAGCAUAAGAGCCUGUCCGUGGCUCCGCCCCUGCCUGCCAGUGCCAAACAAUCUUCAACCCUCACUCACUGGAAGGAGCAAAACCGCUCCCAAAUCGCUCUCCUUCCCUCUCGCCCAUCCGAGGGUCGGGGGUGGGGGGGGAGGGGGAGGGGUGGCGCCGGGGCGGGAAUGGGGCACGGAGGGGCUGGGAGGACUGUCCCCAGUGCGCCCUGGGAGAAGUCAUGCAGUCAGGCCCGGGAGGGUUUUGCAAGGCGCCACACUGCGGACCGAAGCGAGCGCACGGGGUCGGCGGCAAAGUCGGCCACCCAUCUGACCCGUCUUGAAACACGGACCAAGGAGUCUAACACGUGCGCGAGUCCCGGGCUCACAGGAAAGGUACCGUGGCGCAAUGAAGGUGAAGGACCGCCAGGGCCCAGGUGGGAUCCCGAGGCCUCUCCCGUCCACCGAGGGCACCACCCGCCCGUCUCACCAGCCUUGCCGGGGAGGUGGAGCAUGAGCGCACGUGUUAGGACCCGAAAGAUGGUGAACUAUGCCUGGGCAGGGCGAAGCCACAGGAAACUCUGGUGGAGGUCCCUAGCGGUCCUGAUGUGCAAAUCGGUCGUCCGACCUGGGUAUAGGGUUGAAAGACUAAUCGAACCAUCUAGUAGGUGGCUCCCUCCGAAGUUUCCCUCAGGAUAGCUGGCGUUCUCGCAAACACAGUUUUAUGCGGUAAAGCGAAUGAUUAGAGGUCCUGAGGCCAAAACGAUCUCAACCUAUUCUCAAACUUUAAAUGGGUAAAAAGCCCGGGUGUGGAAUAGCAGUGCAUAGUGGGCCACUUUUGUUAGGCACAACUGGCGCUUCCGGAUAAACGGAGCGCCGGGUUACGGCGCCCGAUGCCGAGGCUCAUCAGACCCCAGAAAAGGUGUUGGUUGAUAGAGACAGCAGGACGGUGGCCACGGAAGUGGGAAUCCGCUAAGGUGUGUGCAACAACUCACCUGCCGAAUCAACUAGCCCUGAAAAUGAAUGGCGCUGGAGCGUCGAGCCCAUACCCAGCCCUCGCUGGUGGUCGGUCAGAGACAGGGGGACCGGAGCAAACCGAGAGGCACUUUGGCGGCGCCCGGCCCACACCCCCGCCAAGCUACGCCACGACGACUAGGAGGGCCGCUGUGGUGAGCCUUGAAGCCUAGGGCACAGGCCCGGGUGGAGCCAUCGCAGGUGCAGAUCUUGGUGGUAGUAGCAAAUAUUCAAACAAGAACUUUGAAGGCUGAAGUGGAAAAGGGUUCAAUGUGAACAGCAGUUGAACAUGGGUCAGUCUGUCCUGAGAGAUGGGCGAGCACCAUUCUGAAGGGACGGGCGAUGGCCUCCGUUGCCCUCAGCAGAUCUAAAGCCAGUCGGGUUCAGAUCCCCGAAUGGUAUCGCAACGGUCCCGAAGAAAGCAGAGGAAGACCCCGGGGAGAGUUUUUUUUUUUUUAGAAAGGUCCAGGGGGCCUUGAAAUGGGUUUGCCCCCGAAAAGAAGGUUCCCCGUUCCCUGGGAAAACACUGCGGGUUUCGGGUGGCGUCUUGUGGGGUUGGGGGCUGGUCCCUGAAAAAUCCGGGGAAGGAAGGUUGUAAAAUCUCGAAGCCUGGCCAAUACCCAAUAUGCUCCCGGGGGUGGGGAUGGGGGUUUUCAGGAUUGGCGCCGGGGGCGGGGAGGGGGGCGGCGAGGACUUGGCUGCGUGGUGCCCAGGCGGUGGUGCCGGGUAAGGGGGGAGGUCUCCCGCGGGGCCCUGGGGCAGAAACACGUGAGCGGGGUUUGGCCAGGGGAGGGGGGAAGCAGGGGCGACAGCGACUCCUGGCGGGAGCAUGGCCUUUCCCAUGGAUCGCCCCAGCUAUGGCAGGAAUCGCGGCCGCCCGCAGGGAGCCAUUCAGGUGGCCGGUCCUGCCUGGGGUUGCAUUGGGGCUCGCCUGCAUUGCUGCUCCUGGCUGCGCAAGCAGGCGUGCACAGGUCUUUCCCCGGACAGGACCGCCCCUGGGGCCGCGGUUCCCCGAGGCCCCUCGCCCUGGCUGGCACCUAGCAGCCAGCUUCGAGCUGGUGCGGACCAGGGGAAUCUGACUGUUUAAUUCCAACAAAGCAUCUCGAAGGCACGCAGCAGGUGUUGACGGGACGUGAUUUCUGCCCAGUGCUCUGAAUGUCAAAGUGAAGAAAUUCAAUGAAGCGCGGGUCAAGGGCGGCAGCAACUAUGACUCUCUUAAGGUAGCCAAAUUGCUCGUCAUCUAAUUAGUGAGGCGCAUGAAUGGAUGAACGAGAUUCCCACUGUCCCUACCUCCUAUCCAGCCAAACCACAACCAAGGGAUCGGUCUUGGCGGAAUCAGCAGGGAAAGAAGACUCUGUUGAGCUUGACUCUAGUCUGGCACCGUGAAGAGACAUGAGAGGUGUAGCAUAAGCGGGAGGCCCACGGCACCCAUUUCCUGAGUCUCCGCCAGGGGCGUGGAGUGGGCAUCCGGGCCUUGCGGGCCGCAGGUGAAAUACCACUACUUUGAUCGUUUUUUCACUGACCCGGUGAGGCGGGGGGUGGGGAGGGUGGUGGGGGGAAGUCCCCCAGAUGGCCUGGCCCUGGAGGGGCAAAGAGCCCGU
rnacentral:ncRNA from 1 species